GGAUUUGAGGGAGGUCUGGCUGUGACAUCGGUCACCAGAUAGGUUGGACAGGGUUAAUUCUGCUGAUCUGGCUGGCCAGGAGGUGAUCUCUGAUCUCUCCAGGUUGCUCAUUUGUGUGUCUCCCGCAGCUGGGAGCUCUGUCAGGCUGGUGGCCGUCCCAGAUAAAGGACGGCUAUUCUCCGGUCAAGGGCACAUAAGUAUCUGUGUUCCCCUGCCAGAACUUUGGAAAGCUUUCAAAUUCCAUUUGUAGGCAAACUUGAGACUUCUCAAGUUCAAACUUGGAAGACUCUGGAUACAUCCAAAUGAGGUGCUGCAUGUAGCAGCAUGAAUAUGCUUU
rfam:Otolemur garnettii contig088549, whole genome shotgun sequence.